GAUGCCAUCGCUCAACUUGUGAAUUUCUAGAUCAGGAUUCCAAAGAACAAUCACCAAAUCAGACAAGAAGGCGUGGCACUAAGCCACCAGACACCCAGCAGGUGAAGCUGACAGAGGAGCAAAUGUCGCAGUUUGUACAGGAACACAAUCCGAGUAACAUUCCGGAAUGAGCAGGAAGCAGGACACACAGAGAAAGAAAUGCGGCCGCUUAUAGUGACACCAUAUCAAUAAUGUUCCAGAGUGAGCAGGAAGCAGGAAAAACUGCCAGAGGAAGAAAAUGUGGCAGUUUACAGCAACGCAGUCUGAAUAAAAUUCCAGCAGUAAUAAUAACAUUCAAGAGUGAGCAAUAAGCAGGUAAGCUGACAGAGGAAGAAAUGCAGCUGUUUACAGUGACACCAUAUCAAUAAUGUUCCAGAGUGAACAGGAAGCAGGAAAAACUGCCAGAGGAAGAAAUGCAGCUGUUUACAGUGACACUGUAUAAAUAACAGCCCAGAGUGAGCAGGAAGCACAAAAAGCUGACAAAGGAACAAAACGUGACCAUUUACAGUAAACAGUCUGAAUUACUUUCCAGGGUGAGCAGGAAGCAGGACAAGCUGAUAGAGGAAGAAAUGUGAUAGUUUACAGUAAUAUAUUCCAGUGGAAGCAUGGAAAUGUUUAGGAGAGAUGCCAUUGGAGUUUCUAUCCAGAUUGUUUAAUAAAAUCUUGGAA